rnacentral:tRNA from 1 species
GAGGGUACAGCUCAGUGGAAGAGUGUGUGCUUAGCAUGCACGAGGUCCUGGGUUCAAUCCCCAUGCCUCCA